GUGAGGCCUUCGGACUGGCCCAGGGAGGUCGGCAACGACCACCCAGGGCCGGAAAGUUGGUCAAACCCGGUCAUUUAGAGGAAGUAAAAGUCGUAACAAGGUCUCCGUAGGUGAACCUGCGGAGGGAUCAUUA
rnacentral:rRNA from 1 species